CCGGUCUAAGGUCCCCGACUGGGGCCACAAGUCCCUAAGGACUCCUGGGUCCCUAGAUUAUUAGCACAAAGCUUCUUGGGUAGUUGAGAAGCUUCGGGCUCCCCUUUCUCAGGGCCUAAAAAUAACCAGGCAAGAGGAACUCUGAGUAGCUAGCAAAUGUGCCAGCCAGCACCCCACGCAGCGGAAGCGCCUCCAAAUAAGGCCUAGACAAAGCGGAAGACAGCACGCAAGCCCGUCAGCACUGACGUGGAUUCCAGAACCUGCCCUCCCUGUACCCUCAGAGUCUCCCCUGGAGCCUGUGUGACUCAGGGACGCAGGAGUCGGAUUUGUUCACGGUGUCCAGAGCUUACUGGGCAAUUCAUUAAAGCAGUCUGCCCUUGGGUCCUGGAACUUUUAAGUUCCUGACAGGAGUAUGGAGCUGCAAGUGAGGACUCUGAGGCUGAGCUUUACUGAGUCAACAGUGAACAUGGAGCUGGAGCCACUCUUAACUGGCUAACACCUGUAUGUGCCCCAUCUGCCCUCCAUAGUGGCUGGUGCAACCCAGGCCCUGCUGAGGCUCGAGGAUUCUCUCAGAGGCUCCUCUGCUAGCUUCUCCAUAGGAGGAACUCCAUGUGCUCGCUGGACCUGACCUUAUAAGAAGAGAGGAAGUUUAACCUGGCUACGACUACACGACCUCCUCUGGUGCUGCUAUCUUGAGGAGCCUUUGGAGUUAGCCUGGUGUAGCCUGUGGGAGCCAGAGCCUGUCUACCAACCCCAGCACCACGAUCUCAUCAGUCCUCAGUGAUCCCGGAUAUCUCAAUGCCUUCCCUCCCCUUCUUGUACUAGCUCAUGGUUUAAGGGCUCCUAACCAUUUUUUAAGCCUCCCCUUUGGGGACAUGGGAGUUUUUGGUAAUAUCUGGGCAUCUGAUAUGACUUAGCACCUCCAGCCUGGACAGUCACUCAAUACAUAGGAAGCUGUGUGCCCUUGAAGAGCCAUACCCAAGUCACUGGCUAGGUCUACAUUCAAUUUCUCAUCACUGUCUGGUGGCUUUGAUCCAAGAACACCCUGAGUCUACCCUGGCAGCCAGCACAGUAUUCUAAUGCCACUGUGAGAGGCAAUGGCACUGGGCAUAACCGAAGGACCUAGAUGGGCUUGGAAAAGGUGAGUUUGCCAGAGAGAAUGGGUAUCCCAGGGGAACCACACAACAGCAGAGAAGCAGCCAAACAAUGUGGGAAGGGUGUCCUCAGAAGUCUGGAAGACCCACCGAGGCCUAGAUGUCAGCUAAUCAAAGGUCCUGGUUAAAUAUGAAAGGUUCAGUGGCCACAAGAGAGCAGUAGGUGAUUAAGCAGGUUCACAUAAGACCUACUUGAGGGCAGGAUAAAUGAGGCAGGCAAUAGGCCAAGUGGACAUGUGGGGCAGCCUGUCCUGGCUGAGGGCAAAUGGAGCUUGGGAAUGGGGCUGCUGAGGUAGCUCCGGGGUCUUAAACUCUUCUUGAGUAUGGCAGCACCUGCACUGACGGCCCUUGCUCUUGCUGACCAUUGGAACACUAUGUAACGUCUGGAGCUCUGAGUCGAGCCCUUCCCACCAGAUAGGCUAUGGAGUUAAGAUUAAGCAGAGAAGCAGUCCUGGCCUGUUGCACAUGUCUUGUGAGAGGCCAGAGAUAUACUCUGAGGCAUUUAAUAAAGAUAGGACUCAACAAAGACAAAAA
rnacentral:sRNA from 1 species